rnacentral:rRNA from 1 species
AAAUCUUAAUGUAAAUUUAAAUGUUAAUCUGCAGGGGUACAGCCCUGCAGAACAAGAUUACAACCUUGAUUAGAGAGUAAAUCUGUGUAAUAACCAUAGUUGGCCUAAAAGCAGCCACCAAUUAAGAAAGCGUUCAAGCUCAACAAUCAAAUUAAUACUUAAUCCAAAAAAUUACAUCAACUCCUAACCUAACAACUGGAUUAUUCUACUAAAUGUAGAAGAAAUACUGUUAAUAUGAGUAACAAGAUUUUAAAAUCUCCAAACACACGUGUAUAUCAGCCCGAAUACCUACUGAUAAUUAACAGAUAGUCAAACUUACUUAUUAAAUUAAUAGAUUUCCCACUAUACUGUUGACCCAACACCGGAGUGUACAUUAAGGAAAGAUUAAAAGAAGUAAAAGGAACUCGGCAAACACAAACCCCGCCUGUUUACCAAAAACAUCACCUCUAGCAUUACCAGUAUUAGAGGCACUGCCUGCCCAGUGACAUCAGUUUAACGGCCGCGGUAUCCUGACCGUGCAAAGGUAGCAUAAUCAUUUGUUCCUUAAUUAGGGACUUGUAUGAAUGGCCCCACGAGGGUUUAACUGUCUCUUACUUUUAAUCAGUGAAAUUGACCUUCCCGUGAAGAGGCGGGAAUAUUAGAAUAAGACGAGAAGACCCUAUGGAGCUUUAAUUUAUUUGUCCAACAAAAUCCUAAUUUAAUCCAACAGGAACAACAAUAUUUUAACUGGACAACAAAUUUUGGUUGGGGUGACCUCGGAGCAUAACUCAACCUCCGAGCAAUCAAACUAAGACUUACCUGUCAAAGCAACAUCACUUAUUGAUCCAAUCUUAUUGAUCAACGGAACAAGUUACCCUAGGGAUAACAGCGCAAUCCUAUUUAAGAGUUCAUAUCGACAAUAGGGUUUACGACCUCGAUGUUGGAUCAGGACACCCAAAUGGUGCAGCAGCUAUUGAAGGUUCGUUU